AGUGAACGCUGGCGGUAGGCCUAACACAUGCAAGUCGAACGGCAGCACAGUAAGAGCUUGCUCUUACGGGUGGCGAGUGGCGGACGGGUGAGGAAUACAUCGGAAUCUACUUUUUCGUGGGGGAUAACGUAGGGAAACUUACGCUAAUACCGCAUACGACCUACGGGUGAAAGCAGGGGAUCUUCGGACCUUGCGCGAUUGAAUGAGCCGAUGUCGGAUUAGCUAGUUGGCGGGGUAAAGGCCCACCAAGGCGACGAUCCGUAGCUGGUCUGAGAGGAUGAUCAGCCACACUGGAACUGAGACACGGUCCAGACUCCUACGGGAGGCAGCAGUGGGGAAUAUUGGACAAUGGGCGCAAGCCUGAUCCAGCCAUACCGCGUGGGUGAAGAAGGCCUUCGGGUUGUGAAGCCCUUUUGUUGGGAAAGAAAAGCAGCAGGUUAAUACCCCGCUGUUCUGACGGUACCCAAAGAAUAAGCACCGGCUAACUUCGUGC
rnacentral:rRNA from 1 species